rnacentral:rRNA from 1 species
GGUGAAAUUUUGCAGCUCAACUGUAAAAGUGCCUUCGAAACUGGUUUCCUUGAGUGUGGAUGAAGUAGGCGGAAUUUGUGGUGUAGCGGUGAAAUGCAUAGAUAUCACGAGGAACUCCGAUUGCGCAGGCAGCUUACUAAGCCAUAACUGACGCUCAGGCACGAAGGCGUGGGGAUCAAACAGGAUUAGAUACCCUGGUAGUCCACGCAGUAAACGAUGAUUACUCGCUGUUUGCGAUAUACAGUAAGCGGCUUAGCGAAAGCGUUAAGUAAUCCACCUGGGGAGUACGUUCGCAAGAAUGAAACUCAAAGGAAUUGACGGGGGCCCGCACAAGCGGAGGAACAUGUGGUUUAAUUCGAUGAUACGCGAGGAACCUUACCCGGGCUUGAAAUGCAUCUGACAGGGGCGGAGACGCCCUCUUCCUUCGGGACAGAUGUGUAGGUGCUGCAUGGUUGUCGUCAGCUCGUGCCGUGAGGUGUCGGCUUAAGUGCCAUAACGAGCGCAACCCUCAUCAUUAGUUACCAUCAGGUCAAGCUGGGGACUCUAGUGAGACUGCCAUCGUAAGAUGCGAGGAAGGUGGGGAUGACGUCAAAUCAGCACGGCCCUUACGUCCGGGGCGACACACGUGUUACAAUGGGUGGUACAAAGGGCAGCUACAUGGCGACAUGAUGCUAAUCUCCAAAAACCNCUACUCAGUUCGGAUCGGAGUCUGCAACUCGACUCCGUGAAGCUGGAUUCGCUA